GGGCUGUCGGAUAUUGGGCGUAAGCGAGCGCAGGUGGUUUAUUAAGUCUGGUGUAAAAGGCAGUGGCUCAACCAUUGUAUGCAUUGGAAACUGGUAGACUUGAGUGCAGGAGAGGAGAGUGGAAUUCCAUGUGUAGCGGUGAAAUGCGUAGAUAUAUGGAGGAACACCGGUGGCGAAAGCGGCUCUCUGGCCUGUAACUGACACUGAGGCUCGAAAGCGUGGGGAGCAAACAGGAUUAGAUACCCUGGUAGUCCACGCCGUAAACGAUGAGUGCUAGAUGUAGGGAGCUAUAAGUUCUCUGUAUCGCAGCUAACGCAAUAAGCACUCCGCCUGGGGAGUACGACCGCGAGGUUGAAACUCAAAGGAAUUGACGGGGGCCCCGCACAAGCGGUGGAGCAUGUGGUUUAAUUCGAAGCAACGCGAAGAACCUUACCAGGUCUUGACAUACUCGUGCUAUUCCUAGAGAUAGGAAGUUCCCUUCGGGACACGGGAUACAGGUGGUGCAUGGGUUGUCGUCAGCCUCGUGUCGUGAGAUGUUGGGUUAAGUCCCCGCAACGAGCGCAACCCCUAUUGUUAGUUGCCAUCAUUUAGUUGGGCACUCUAACGAGACUGCCGGUGAUAAACCCGAGGAAGGUGGGGAUGACGUCAAUCAUCAUGCCCCUUAUGACCUGGCUACACACGUGCUACAUGGAUGGUACACCGAGUCCUCGAGACAGUGAUGUUAGCUAUCCUCCUCACACCAUCCUCAGUCGAAUGUAGCUGCAACUCGCCUACAUGAGGUCCGAAUCAGCUAGUAAUCGCGAUCAGCACGCCCGCGUGAAUCUUCCUCCCCCGGCUUA
rnacentral:rRNA from 1 species